rnacentral:tRNA from 1 species
AGCGGGUUGGUGUAAUGGCAACACGGUCGGCUCAUAACCGACAGUACGAAGUUCGAAUCUUCGACCCGCUA